UGGGGAAUAUUGCACAAUGGGCGCAAGCCUGAUGCAGCCAUGCCGCGUGUAUGAAGAAGGCCUUCGGGUUGUAAAGUACUUUCAGCGGGGAGGAAGGGGGUAAAGUUAAUACCUUUACUCAUUGACGUUACCCGCAGAAGAAGCACCGGCUAACUCCGUGCCAGCAGCCGCGGUAAUACGGAGGGUGCAAGCGUUAAUCGGAAUUACUGGGCGUAAAGCGCACGCAGGCGGUUUGUUAAGUCAGAUGUGAAAUCCCCGGGCUCAACCUGGGAACUGCAUCUGAUACUGGCAAGCUUGAGUCUCGUAGAGGGGGGUAGAAUUCCAGGUGUAGCGGUGAAAUGCGUAGAGAUCUGGAGGAAUACCGGUGGCGAAGGCGGCCCCCUGGACAAAGACUGACGCUCAGGUGCGAAAGCGUGGGGAGCAAACAGG
rnacentral:rRNA from 1 species